GAUGAAGAACGUAGCGAACUGCGAUAAGUAAUGUGAAUUGCAGAAUUCAGUGAAUCAUCGAGUCUUUGAACGCACAUUGCGCCUCCUGGCAAUCCGGGGGGCAUGCCUGUCCGAGCGUCAUUGCUGCCCAUCAAGCCCGGCUUGUGUGUUGGGUCGUCGUCCCCCCCGGGGGACGGGCCCGAAAGGCAGCGGCGGCACCGUGUCCGGUCCUCGAGCGUAUGGGGCUUUGUCACCCGCUCGACUAGGGCCGGCCGGGCGCCAGCCGACGUCUCCAACCAUUUUUCUUCAGGUUGACCUCGGAUCAGGUAGGGAUACCCGCUGAACUUAAGCAUAUCAAUAAGCGGAGGA
rnacentral:misc_RNA from 1 species